rnacentral:rRNA from 1 species
AUUGAACGCUGGCGGCAGGCCUAACACAUGCAAGUCGAGCGGAUGAAGGGAGCUUGCUCCUGGAUUCAGCGGCGGACGGGCGAGUAAGUCGUAGGAAUCUGCCUGGUAGUGGGGGCUAACGUCCGGAAACGGGCGCUAAUACCGCAUACGUCCUGAGGUAGAAAGUGGGGGAUCUUCGGACCUCACGCUAUCUGAUGAGCCUAGGUCGGAUUAGCUAGUUGGUGGGGUAAAGGCCUACCAAGGCGACGAUCCGUAACUGGUCUGAGAGGAUGAUCAGUCACACUGGAACUGAGACACGGUCCAGACUCCUACGGGAGGCAGCAGUGGGGAAUAUUGGACAAUGGGCGAAAGCCUGAUGCAGCCACGCCGCGUGUGUGAAGAAGGUCUUCGGAUUGUAAAGCACUGUAAGUUGGGAGGAAGGGAAGUAAGUGAAUACAUGGCUGUUUUGACGUUACCAACAGAAUAAGCACCGGCUAACUACGUG